CGCUAGCGGCAGGCCUAAUACAUGCAAGUCGAACGGAUGUCAGCAAUGGCAUUAGUGGCGCACGGGUGCGUAACGCGUAACCAACCUACCCAGAACUGGGGGAUAGCCCGCCGAAAGGCGGAUUAAUACCGCAUAAGAUCAUGAUCCGGCAUCGGGUAGUGAUUAAAGAUUUAUUGGUUUUGGAUGGGGUUGCGUAGCAUUAGCUGGAUGGUGAGGUAACGGCUCACCAUGGCGACGAUGCUUAGGGGAGCUGAGAGGCUGAUCCCCCACACUGGCACUGAGAUACGGGCCAGACUCCUACGGGAGGCAGCAGUAGGGAAUAUUGGGCAAUGGCCGAGAGGCUGACCCAGCCAUGCCGCGUGCCGGAUGAAGGCCUUCUGGGUUGUAAACGGCUUUUCUCAGGGAAGAAAAAGGGGAUGCGUCCUCAACUGACGGU
rnacentral:rRNA from 1 species